rnacentral:rRNA from 1 species
AGCAGCCGCGGUAAUUCCAGCUCCAAUAGCGUAUAUUAAAGUUGUUGCAGUUAAAAAGCUCGUAGUUGAAUUUCGGGAUCAGUACGCUGGUCGUGCCCUUGGUAUGUACUGGUGUUACUGGUUCCUACCUUCUGACGAACCGUCAUGUCAUUAAUUUGGUGUGGCGGGAAAUCAGGACUGUUACUUUGAAAAAUUAGAGUGUUUAAAGCAGGCUCGCGCUUGAAUACAUUAGCAUGGAAUAAUGAAAUAGGACGUUCGAUCCUAUUUUGUUGGUUUCUAGGAUUGACGUAAUGAUUAAUAGGGAUAGUUGGGGGCAUUAGUAUUCAAUUGUCAGAGGUGAAAUUCUUGGAUUUAUUGAAGACUAACUACUGCGAAAGCAUUUGCCAAGGAUGUUUUCAUUAAUCAAGAACGAAAGUUAGGGGAUCGAAGACGAUCAGAUACCGUCGUAGU